AUCAAAUCAGGAUCUCACCACCAGAACUCCAACUUGGCCAUGUAGGGGAGGCAAAAGUCAAUUUAGGCCAAAUAAAUGAAAAUGGGGAUAAAUGAGGAUGCUCAAUGUACAAACUCAGAAGUCUUAUAUCAUGUAACUUUUUUUAAAGUUUCAAGUCCUAGGCAAUGAAUAUAAAUCUUGCUCCAUUUCUGCUGUCAAAAGCUAAUAUAAACUUGAGAUUAGCAUUUCCAAGAUGCCAUUCAAAAAUUUUUUUUGAAUAAAACAGCAAAAUGUUUCUCUUAUUUAAAAAGCAAGACAGUAAUCUUAGCAGAAGCUAUUGUACACA
rnacentral:misc_RNA from 1 species